UACAGAGGGUGCUAGCGUUAAUCGGAAUUACUGGGCGUAAAGCGUGCGCAGGCGGUUGUGCAAGACAGAUGUGAAAUCCCCGGGCUUAACCUGGGAACUGCAUUUGUGACUGCACGGCUAGAGUGUGUCAGAGGGGGGUAGAAUUCCACGUGUAGCAGUGAAAUGCGUAGAUAUGUGGAGGAAUACCGAUGGCGAAGGCAGCCCCCUGGGAUAACACUGACGCUCAUGCACGAAAGCGUGGGGAGCAAACAGG
rnacentral:rRNA from 1 species